GACCUACUCCCUCCAUUCAGAAUUACUUGUCGCGGAAAUGGAUGUAUCUAGAUGUAUUUUAGUUCUAGAUACAUCCAUUUCCGAGACAAGUAAUUCCGAACGGAGGGAGUAUCUU
rfam:Triticum aestivum genome assembly, contig: Triticum_aestivum_CS42_TGACv1_scaffold_210416_3AS